rnacentral:rRNA from 1 species
GAUAAUAUAAGGGAAAAUAAUGAUAUUACCUUAUUAUUAGUGUCGUCCAAAACUGGUGCCAGAAGACUCGGUAAGGCCAGAGACAUAAACGUUAAUCGUCUUAAUCAGGCGUAAAGGGUUUGUAGGCGGCUUUUAAUUUACUUAUAAAAAUAAAAUAAGUUAAGAAUAAAAGCUAGAAUCAAAUAGAGGAUAUAUCAAAUAAUGCUUAGAGUAGGUCUGAUAUCCUUAGAUACUAAGUAGAAUAUUAAAGGCGAAAGCUUUUUUCCAUAAAUGAUUGACGCUCAGAAACGAAGGUGAGGAUAGGAAAUAGGAUUAGAUACCCAAAAUACCCCUCUCUGUCAACGAUGAAUGGUAAUUAUUAAUAAUAAAUUUAUUAUUAAUGGUAAUGUUAACACGAUAACCAUUCCGCCUUGUGAGUACAACUGCAAAGUUGAAAACAAAAAAAUUAGUCGGUUUCGGAGCAAACGAAGUGAAGCAUGUUAUUUAAUU